UACGAAGGGGGCUAGCGUUGCUCGGAAUUACUGGGCGUAAAGCGCGCGCAGGUGGCCUGUUAAGUUGGGGGUGAAAGCCCGGAGCUCAACUCCGGAAUUGCCUUCAAGACUGGCAGGCUAGAGUACGGCAGAGGAGAGUGGAAUUCCCAGUGUAGAGGUGAAAUUCGUAGAUAUUGGGAAGAACACCAGUGGCGAAGGCGGCUCUCUGGUCCGUUACUGACACUGAGGCGCGAAAGCGUGGGGAGCAAACAGG
rnacentral:rRNA from 1 species